UAAAUGUGGUGUCCAGUCACUUCCAUUUC
rnacentral:piRNA from 1 species